ACGCUCGACACCUACGGGAGGCAGCAGUGGGGAAUAUUGGGCAAUGGGCGCAAGCCUGACCCAGCAACGCCGCGUGAAGGAAGAAGGCUUUCGGGUUGUAAACUUCUUUUAAGGGGGAACAGGAGAAGAGGGUACCCCUUGAAUAAGCCACGGCUAACUACGUGCCACAGCCGCGGUAAUCUGAGCGGGCUGGCAAGGC
rnacentral:rRNA from 1 species